rnacentral:rRNA from 1 species
UACGUAGGGUGCAAGCGUUGUCCGGAAUUAUUGGGCGUAAAGAGCUUGUAGGCGGUUUGUCGCGUCUGCUGUGAAAUUUCGGGGCUCAACCCCGAACUUGCAGUGGGUACGGGCAGACUAGAGUGUGGUAGGGGAGACUGGAAUUCCUGGUGUAGCGGUGAAAUGCGCGGAUAUCAGGAGGAACACCGAUGGCGAAGGCAGGUCUCUGGGCCAUAACUGACGCUGAGAAGCGAAAGCAUGGGGAGCGAACAGG